ACUCAAAUGAAUUGACGGGGGCCCGCACAAGCGGUGGAUGAUGUGGUUCAAUUCGAUGCAACGCGAAAAACCUUACCUACCCUUGACAUGCCAGGAAGUCCGCUGAAAGGCGGAUGUGCCCGAAAGGGAGCCUGGACACAGGUGCUGCAUGGCUGUCGUCAGCUCGUGUCGUGAGAUGUUGGGUUAAGUCCCGCAACGAGCGCAACCCUUGUCAUUAGUUGCCACAUUAAGUUGGGCACUCUAAUGAGACUGCCGGUGACAAACCGGAGGAAGGUGGGGACGACGUCAAGUCCUCAUGGCCCUUAUGGGUAGGGCUACACACGUCAUACAAUGGCGCAUACAGAGGGCUGCCAACCCGCGAGGGGGAGCAAAUCCCAGAAAGUGCGUCGUAGUCCGGAUUGAAGUCUGCAACUCGACUUCAUGAAGUCGGAAUCGCUAGUAAUCGCGGAUCAGCAUGUCGCGGUGAAUACGUUCCCGGGCCUUGUACACACCGCCCGU
rnacentral:rRNA from 1 species